AGAGUUUGAUCAUGGCUCAGAUUGAACGCUGGCGGCAGGCCUAACACAUGCAAGUCGAGCGGAUGAAGGGAGCUUGCUCCUGGAUUCAGCGGCGGACGGGUGAGUAAUGCCUAGGAAUCUGCCUGGUAGUGGGGGAUAACGUCCGGAAACGGGCGCUAAUACCGCAUACGUCCUGAGGGAGAAAGUGGGGGAUCUUCGGACCCCACGCUAUCAGAUGAGCCUAGGUCGGAUUAGCUAGUUGGUGGGGUAAAGGCCUACCAAGGCGACGAUCCGUAACUGGUCUGAGAGGAUGAUCAGUCACACUGGAACUGAGACACGGUCCAGACUCCUACGGGAGGCAGCAGUGGGGAAUAUUGGACAAUGGGCGAAAGCCUGAUCCAGCCAUGCCGCGUGUGUGAAGAAGGUCUUCGGAUUGUAAAGCACUUUAAGUUGGGAGGAAGGGCAGUAAGUUAAUACCUUGCUGUUUUGACGUUACCAACAGAAUAAGCACCGGCUAACUUCGUGCCAGCAGCCGCGGUAAUACGAAGGGUGCAAGCGUUAAUCGGAAUUACUGGGCGUAAAGCGCGCGUAGGUGGUUCAGCAAGUUGGAUGUGAAAUCCCCGGGCUCAACCUGGGAACUGCAUCCAAAACUACUGAGCUAGAGUACGGUAGAGGGUGGUGGAAUUUCCUGUGUAGCGGUGAAAUGCGUAGAUAUAGGAAGGAACACCAGUGGCGAAGGCGACCACCUGGACUGAUACUGACACUGAGGAGCGAAAGCGUGGGGAGCAAACAGGAUUAGAUACCCUGGUAGUCCAA
rnacentral:rRNA from 1 species